rnacentral:tRNA from 1 species
UAUAGCCCAGUGGAUAAGGCGCCGGCUUCCUAAGCCGGGUAUUACGGGUUCAUGUCCCGCUA